UACGAAGGUCCCAAGCGUUAUCCGGAUUUAUUGGGUUUAAAGGGUGCGUAGGCGGGUUAUUAAGUCAGUGGUGAAAGCCUUCAGCUUAACUGAAGAAUUGCCAUUGAUACUGAUGAUCUUGAGUAUGAUUGAGGUGGGCGGAAUGUGUCAUGUAGCGGUGAAAUGCUUAGAGAUCGGGAAGAACAUCGGUGGCGAAGGCGGCCAGCUGGGCCAUUGCUGACGCUGAUGCGCGACAGCGUGGGGAGCAAACAGG
rnacentral:rRNA from 1 species